CAGACAUCGAGAGACAAGCAAACACUUACCCAAGUGCAGAGUACUCACUGCUGCAUUGCAGAGUUUACUGGCAUAAAAUGAUGGGGCAAUAGCAGUGUUUAAAACCUCACAGCUUGCACUUUGUGGAGGAGAUUGAUGGAAGAAGAGAUGGAAGAACUGCCAUUGCUUCAAAUCCUUGGGGAAAGUCUUCUGGAAGUGAAUGGGAACUGAUCACCUCUCUACAGACUUCUUGAGUCAUCUCAGAGAAUUUAAUAGAAAAUAAUUCUUUUGCUUCAGAUUGGUAUAAUGUGACUUAAAAGUGCUAGAAAAAAGUCUUAAUUUUCACAAUCUAAAUUAUCAAUCAGAUGGGGUAAAUUAAUCUGACUUCUGUUGCAA